GAAAAAUGUAUUCCAGCGAUAGUACUGAAGGGUUACCGCUGCCAAACACACUGUGUCUGUGGAAACACCUGUUGAGUAGCUGUUGCAGUGGGCAGAGCAAGAUGAAGAAAGACAGCUGUAAAGGUGCCAGCAGCAGUAGGAAGCUCUACCAAGACUGCUUUGUGCCAGUUAGAGAUGUGCCAAAUUAUUUGGCUGCAUUUCAAAUAUCUGGGUGUCCACUACAUUUGCCAGCUCGUACUCCCAGGGAAUAUUUCAGCAUUAACACCACUACUGCCAUGCUCCCGCUGCACUUCCACUUUAAUUUCAGUCUUUAUGUUUCUGGGUUGUUUUUGUUUUUCAUUUCUAGCUCCUUUCCACAUCUGUGGCAUGCAAAGGAAAGCCCGGUAUUACAGUGCAGAGCCCAAAAUGAAGGCUGGGAUCUGCAGUUGCUUUCCAGUGAUGCACAGCACAGUCCCUCCUGGAGGUAGACAAGCAAACCCUGCCUUCCGGAACUAGAGGUUUCUCUCUUUGGGACACCAGCAUCUCGUAUGUCAGCCUAGGAGAUGCAAAGACUAUAAGCUCACAGCAUGGGAGAAUGAGAGCCAGGAGAGCCGAGAGUGGCGUUCCCACCCAUGACCGCCGCGGAGCACAGCCUGACGCAGGGAUGGGAGACCCAAAGGGAUGCUGCGGUGCUGCAAAAAACAAGCUCUUCGACUCUGUUAUAUCUCCUCUCAUGGUGACCUCAUCUGGUUCCUGUAGGAUUUUGCCACUUGGCAGGACAAGCAGCAUUCUGACAGAUCUAUGCAUGAAAUCAUCAGCAUUUGAAAAUUCCAGCUAUAAGACAUGCAAUCAGGUUUCUCCUUAAUGACACCAGCUAUUCAACUACAUCAUACCUCCAGACCUUCAAGUGGCUUCUCAGAGAAUUUCAAGCCCAGUUCAUAGUCUGUUCUUUGUUGACAGAGUUCAACAAGCCCUGUGAGAAGGAGACUAGAGAAAUAUGAAAAAAACAUUCAAGACUCCACGAACAUCUUCAAGUACCUUGCUCCUUUGGACAGUGGAGCUGUCAUAUGUAUAGGUCAUAUCACAGAAACAUUAUAGAAUCAUAAAAUGGUUUGGGUUAAAAGGGACCUCAAAGACCAUCCUGUUCCAACCCCCUGCCAUGAGUGGGGUCAUGAACGACUAAAUCAUGCACCAGAUUAGGUUGCCCAGGUCCCCAUCCAACCUGGCCUUGAAUGCCUCUAGGGAUGAGGCAUCCACAUCUUCUCUGGAAAUCCCUAGGUGAGAGAUAAAACUUCCUUGGAAACCAGUCUAAGUGCAAAGAUGAGCCCUUGAGUAAGAAAUUACGUCCACGAAACUCACUUCCAUCUACUCCGAGUCCUUUCUUCAAGCUCACCUUCUUUUGUAUCUUAAUCACGCAGUGUAUGAACUCCCUUUCUCAAAAGAACCCAACCAAUCCAACAAACACCAGUGAAAGGGAAAGAAGCAAAGAACAAACAAUUUUUUCCAGUGAUGGGGACAACAUAAGAAGCAGUAUAAGAAGAGAACUGCAUAAGAAUGAAAAUCUAUGCUUAUGGUCUCAGUGCAAAUAUUACUUCUUAAGCCCCUGCCUGAUACUCAAAGCACAAAACCCAGCAGGGAGAGGGGUAAUGGAAUUUGGAGGCAACUGGUGUUCAAAGACCUCACUUGAAAUGGGCCUAUGCUAAUGCUGAGGGUCUGUGCAAAUUGGGUCAACUUCUCACAUAUUCCUAAAGGAGCAGCUUCAUCAGGUUAGCCUGCAUGGUACAGAGUUGUCUCUUUAAGUAUUUCGUAGAGCUGCACCUCAGAGUAUUGUCCAAAUCCUCUAAGAGAUUCUGGCUCUAACGUGGCCAGAGCAGGAUACAUUCAUCCACAGAGCAUCACCCGUGUGUGUGUGGUCUCUGAGCCACGGGGAGAGCACGUUCAUCCCAAUGUAACUGAGUUUAAUUGCCACCUCCUGACUCUUUUCAAAAAAGGAAUCUGUGCUUAAAAGCUCAGAGCCUUUUCCUUGAACUUUCUUGCUCCAAAUUGAGCUGACAUAACUCCCUUGUCCUUGACAGAAUUACGCUGGUCAAUUAUUGGUCAGACUGAGAUUUGAAUUUGGCAGUGAACCUCAUCGUAUCCCCUUCUUUGUCUUCUCUAUGUAUUUCAUGAAGUACUGAAAAGUGUUUUGUAUGGUUGCGUGUGUGACUCAUACAAAAUAUUUGCACAAAACAGAACAUUAAAGGAUUUGCUGUAAAUUCAAAAAUUAGUUUUGCACUGAAUCGAAGUCAUGCUCUUUCCUUUUCUGAGGCAGAAAAAAGAUAUUUUG
ensembl:lncRNA